CGCGCAAAUUACCCAAUCCAAAGCUGGUCCUGUCAGGUCUAUUCCGGUAACGAAAAGUACCAAGUGACGACCUGCGGGUUGUCAGUUUGGAAUGAAAACAAUUUACGAAUUUGAAUUGAGAAACGACUGGAGGGCAAGUCUGGUGCCAGCAGCCGCGGUAAUUCCAGCUCCAGUAGCGUAUCUCAAAGUUGCUGCGCUUAAAACGCUCGUAGUUGGAUCACGCACUGCGUGUUGGUGGGUGCGUUUUGCGGGCUAUUGAUCCUCUUCUUCCAGGCUCGGUAUCAUUAUCGUGCUCUGGAGCUGGGGUGGUUUGUGAGACGCAUCGUGAGCCGAUACGCAGUAAUUUCACGUGAGGAUGGUGGUUGACCUUGAGUGCGUCGAGCGCCGUGUCUCACGGGGUGUGCCUUGAGUAAAUCAGAGUGCUUAAAGCGGGCGAAAGCUUGAAUGUUGAUAGCAUGGAACGAACAAUCGUGUAAGGUGUGCAUUGAGCAAGGUGUUUGCGACGUGAGUCGUAGACAUUUCAGUGCAUGACACCGACCACCAAUUACGGAUGUUGGUUCCGUAUUGGGGUACUGAUUAAGAGGAGCGGUUGGGGACAUUGGUAUUUGGCAGCGAGAGGUGAAAU
rnacentral:rRNA from 1 species